UACGUAGGGCGCAAGCGUUAUCCGGAAUUAUUGGGCGUAAAGAGCUCGUAGGCGGUUUGUCGCGUCUGCCGUGAAAGUCCGGGGCUCAACUCCGGAUCUGCGGUGGGUACGGGCAGACUAGAGUGAUGUAGGGGAGACUGGAAUUCCUGGUGUAGCGGUGAAAUGCGCAGAUAUCAGGAGGAACAGCCGAUGGCGAAGGCGGUUCUCUGGGCCUUACCUGACGCUGAGGAGCGAAAGCGUGGGGAGCGAACAGG
rnacentral:rRNA from 1 species